rnacentral:misc_RNA from 1 species
AUAUUGCACUAAAGGGGGAUGGCAAGGAAUACUAUGUUGAUAUUAAGGAAUUUGACAUGCUUUAUGAGGAAUUUGGAGGGUUUGAUGGGCUAUAUGUGAAAAUGCUUGCCCAGGGUAUUCCUACUGUGGUUCAGUUGAUGUGGAUCCCUUUUUCAGAAUUGAAUUUGCAUCAACAGUUUCUCUUGACAUUGAGGCUGGCUCGCCAAUGCAUAAAUGGAAUAUGGAAGACUAGAAUUGUUUCGUUUGGAAGAGAUUGGGUGUUAGAGAAAAUUAGAAACAUAAAUGAUGAUAUAAUGAUGAUGAUUGUGUUUCCUAUAAUUCAUCAUUCCUUUUCCAGUGAGGUUACGGUUGGGGAUGGCGUGGCCGGAGGAAAUAGGGCAGAGUGUUGGCUCAACAUGGUACUUGAAAUGGCAAUCUGAGGCGGA